UGGUGGUAGCGUAGGGAUCGGGCACAGACCUUUCUCAAUGCUUUAUAUGAAGAAUGGGGUGCAUGGCUUCUAAGUUUAAGUGUACUACAGGGUGUGUAGUGCUCAAGAUUACAUAGGCCAUGGCAAAUGCGUCGCCUAAGACAUAGUCUAAGAUCACCCUCACGUAUGCCACAAUUUAUGUGCCAGACACUUUAACUUUGGCGAUGGCUUGUACGUCACACAUCCAACCGCAC
rnacentral:lncRNA from 1 species